AUUGAACGCUGGCGGCAUGCCUUACACAUGCAAGUCGAACGGCAGCACGGGAGCAAUCCUGGUGGCGAGUGGCGAACGGGUGAGUAAUAUAUCGGAACGUGCCCGGUCGUGGGGAUAACGUAGCGAAAGCUACGCUAAUACCGCAUACGAUCUACGGAUGAAAGCGGGGGAUCGCAAGACCUCGCGCGAUUGGAGCGGCCGAUAUCAGAUUAGGUAGUUGGUGAGGUAAAGGCUCACCAAGCCGACGAUCUGUAGCUGGUCUGAGAGGACGACCAGCCACACUGGGACUGAGACACGGCCCAGACUCCUACGGGAGGCAGCAGUGGGAAUUUGGACAAUGGGCGCAAGCCUGAUCCAGCAAUGCCGCGUGCAGGAUGAAGGCCUCGGUUGGUAACUAG
rnacentral:rRNA from 1 species